rnacentral:pre_miRNA from 1 species
GGAUGUGUGUGGAUGGUGUUCAGCACCAAGAACAGGUGUGUUUACACAUGUGUGGAUGCUGUUCAGCACCAGAGACAGGUAUGUUAAUGU